rnacentral:lncRNA from 1 species
AAGUAAGUCCCAAGAGUGGAGACUCCUCAAAGGGAAUCUGAAAACUUCCCGUGUCUUCGUGAUUUGUAGAAAUAGGCCUCUUACAAGACCUCCACCCACCACCCACCCAGACUCGUGCUAGCUAUCCCCUGAUUAAAAACAGAAGGCACUGGUUAAUUCUUUCUGCUUCAGAGAAGGAGAAACCUAUCACAGGACUAUGUCAGCUCUGAAGUGUGGAAGAUCUUCCAGAGUCCCCUUCAAUGGAAACAAGCCGUGAAAAGGGUAUUUAAAUACAUUUUAAUUGAAAAAUUGCGUGUUUAUAAAAUUAAAGGGUAUGUCUGCAGAGUUAAGAACCUGUAAAGGAUUUUCACUAAAAUGGGAACAAGUGCUCAUUUCCAGGUGGUAAGAGAAUCUUGCCUCUCCUUUAUUAUCACGGGGGGAGAGUGAUUUGUUUUCAUUAUUGCUAGCAUUUCACUGUUAUUUUACCACUCUUGCGAUUGUUGUUAUUUUCGUUUUAGGUAAAUGACUGGCGUGCGGGUGACCCCAGCAGGGGCACGGGCCUCCUGGCUGCUGCGGCGCAGGGGCUUCUGGGGAUUGUAGUCCGCAGACUUUCCUGCGCAUGCGUUAUGGGCUCCGGCGGGCGCCGUGGGCGACCUUGUUUGGGGCGCUGAGGUGAGUCCAGCCCGGACCGCGCCCCGGUCGGAGGCGCUAGGGGUGGAGGGUGUGUAGUCGUGAUUGCGCCCUGUUGCUAGAUGGGAGGAGUUGGAAGCGGGGACUGGUGGCCAGUGAAAGAGCCUUCUUGGCGGGGCGGAGUGUUGAGGUGCUCGCCCGGCAUUCCUUGGGAAGAGAUGGGCGAGCUUGAGCUGGAUUUGGGGGGACUGACUCCGGUAGUGCCUCUGCAGGUUUUGGAGUUCUGCAUUCUCAGGAUCCCACUCUUUCCAAGAGGAAGACAGUCCGGUUAAGUUCCGGGUAAGUCAAGGUUUCCUUUCUCCCCCUUAAAUACCACGUCCCUUCUGGGGAGCUAUUUUCUGAAAGGAAAUGGCCAAGUUUUGAGUGGCGGCUGUGUCUUAGACACUUCACCUUGCUCCUAACAGCUGUGUGAGAGAGGUGGUGUUAACUCCCUUUGCAGAAAGGAAGGAACAGGCUCAGAGAUGUCAGGAUGCCUAGUUCAGGCUAUUCCAAGUGUGGUUCGCACACAAGUGCCAGUCCACGAGCUGCUUGUCACAGAGAGAUCAAUACAGC